rnacentral:lncRNA from 1 species
GGAAGUGUAUGCUGUUUUGUAGGUGUUGAUCUUCUUCCUUGUAGGUGAAAUGGAAAUAUUGGUUUGCUAUGGAAGUGUGGAAAAAUGUAUAUAUGUUGGGUUUUUAGGUGUUGAAUUCUGUAGCUAGAAAUAUUAUUAGUUUGCAUCGAAGUGUGGAAGUGUAUGAUGCCCGAGACUUAGUUAUUUGGUUCCGUCCCAAAACGUCGAAAAAAUGGCCAACACGAUGGCCUAGAAAGGAACGACCCUGCUUAGAACGGUGUCAAAAGGUCUUGAAAGUUUGCAUCUAACUAAUGGGUGGCCUCAUUUUGAGUAGUAUUAAAGUUUUUUGCCCACAAAAGCCCAACGGUGAUGCCCGAGACUUAGUUAUUUGGUUUCGUCCUAAAACGUCAAAAAACGCGAUGGCCUAGAAAGGAACGACCCUGCUUAGAACGGUGUCAAAGGUCUCGAAAGUUCGCAUCUAACUAAUGGGUGGCCUCAUUUUGAGUAGUAUUAAAGUUUUUUGCCCACAAAAGCCCAACGGUGAUGCCCGAGACUUAGUUAUUUGGUUUCGUCCCAAAAUGUCAAAAAACGCGAUGGCCUAGAAAGGAAGGACCCAGCUUAGAACGGUGUCAAAGGUCUCCAAACUUCGCAUCUAACUACUGGGUGGCCUCAUUUUGAGUAAAAUUAAAGUUCUUUGCCCACAAAAGCCCAACGGUGAUGCCGAGACUUAGUUAUUUGGUUCCGUCCCAACACGUCGAAAAAAGGGCCAACACUAUGGCCUAGAAAGGAACGACUCUGCUUACAACGGUGUCAAAGUUCUCGAAAGUUCGCAUCUAACUAAUGGGUGGCCUCAUUUUGAGUAGUAUUAAAGUUUUUUUCCCACAAAAGCCGAACGGUGAUGCUCGAGAUUCAGUUUUUUGGUUCAGUCCCAAAACGCCAAAAAAAUGGCCAAUGCGAUGGCCUAGAAACGAACGACCCAGCUUAGAACUGUUGGAAUUUUUUGUCCUAAAACUCGUAGUUUGUAAUCAUAUUCUGUUCAAUAAAGUUGUUAUUGAGAAAUUGAAUAUUGUAAUCUUAAAUCCAAUAAAUCAAGUCCCAAGGCUAUUUUUUUAGUAAACUUGAACUUUAUGUGUAAACAUAAACAUGGAUCAAGUUCGAGUAUAUAGCCUAAAUAGUCUAUAGUAUAUGAAUAAUGGUUGGGCGCCUUAUUUAGAGAAACUAUGGAUGCGACCCACUUUGUAGUAAGUACAAACGAGGUGAUCCUGAACGUUCAUGUAGAGACAUGAAAGUGGGGUCAUCCUAUGUAAAGUGUUUACAUAAGACUGAACUAUGAAUUAGUCUUUUUUUACUUUAUAAUACCGUUUACUGUUUAAAAUUGACUAUCUCGAUUAUUGAUGACCUAGGUAACUUAAUCUUAAUCUUGAGUUAACUAUGAACUCCUGUUCACACGAGAUUAUCCUUAGAUCUGCAUAGGUGAGGGCAGCUCAUCAGUGUUGGCCCAAUAAGCCUCCCAUUUUAGGGGUAAGAUCGGGUGAAUAGCUGGGAACAUAGGGCACAAGACGGAAUUCACUCCUACCCGCUUUAGGGUUAGUAGAUAGGUUGUUUUCUUAAGCACUGAAUCCAAGUCUUGAACAAGGGCCCCACCCUCUCAUUGGCCCGAGAGGGAUUAAGUUUAUAGGUUGGAUCUUAAACCAAUUGUUCAAUAGUGGAUUAAUGGAACUUAAGGAGCAAGAUGUAAUCUUGGGGGUAAAACGGUAUUUUGACCUAGCCAAGGUUACGAGCAACAUGUGAAGGAUUAACUUACUGAUUAUGGUUUUAUCAAAUGGACAUAAAUAUAUAUAUAGUGAGGGGAGUACAACUACGGGACUUUAGUGGAAUGACUCGUUAGUUAACGAAUGUUUAUUAACUCGAUCUAAAAGAGUUUAGCUAGUUAAUCUUGAAUCGUUGGAGCCCAUGAUCUAUAGGUCCAUUAGGUUCCCCUGCUAGCUCAUAUGGAUUAAACUUAGAACAGUAUGAUGAAAUAAGUCGAAUUGUUUGAAUUGGGAGAAGAAAGAGAAAUCGACAAAUAUAGUGAUACAAUUGUCGAUCUUCUAAUUAGAAAUAGAGCUUUAUGUUUUAAAUACUAUAAGUAUGAAUGUGGAUUCAUACUAAGAAGCUCGGAAUUGAUGGAAUUGGUCAAAAUUGUAAAAAGUCAAAAUUUUGACUUUGAAAAGUCAAA